rnacentral:lncRNA from 1 species
UGCGGCUCAUGACUAGGCAUAAGAGAGGAAAAGAAGCCACCAGAAUUUGGAAGACUCUGAGCCCCAAACUUACAUGAAGCAACUGCAUUUAAGUACAGCAAGGGGAGGACUAAGAUGGAUGCUAUGAGAUGCCCACCACAUCCCCCAGCACUGAGGCUCCCAUACUUCCCUUGCCAGUUUAAGUACUGGGACUCACAGCUGGAGUUGAGAGCCUUUCUCCCCCUGACAUCUCCAGGUGGUGGUGAGACAUCAUCAAAUCCUAAGAAACAGUGCACUUGAAGGUUUUUCACUCACUGCAUCAAAGAGGAGAAAAAUAUUUCUCUCCACUGCCUAAAGGUAUGUUCUUUCUUUGUCUCGUCAACCUCUUCUCUUACAGGCUGGCGAUCCGUUAUGAAAGAUGCUGGGAGGAUGAGUUCUAUCACAUCCUGAUGUGGUAGCUCAGCUCUCCCCCUUAGGCUGGUAGAGUUCUUAGAACAUUAUAUAUUUGUCAACAACUGAGGCCGUGGCCCAAAAGGAGAUUUAAAAAAUCCCUCAUUAACAUCCCAUUAUAAUUAUUAUUAACAGUAAUUACAUGUAAGGGCAAAUGCCACUCGUUAUUUACUUGGAAAAUUAAUUAUGUAAAAAAUUGUUAGCAAAUAAUUUCCCCAUAUGGUUUUUUGUACUGGAUGUAUAAUACAAUGUAGAUUGAAAGUGAAUUAUUUCUUGUAACAUAAAGACUAGAUAAAAAUCUGUAGAUUGAAAGUGAAUUAUUUCUUAUAAAGAGUGGGUAAAAAUCUGUAGAUUAAAAGUGAAUUAUUUCUUACAACAGAAAGAGUAGAUAAAAAUCUGCUUUCACUGACUGGCAGUUUUGGAAUUUGCAAUCUCUCUUUGUCUCUGUCUCUGUCUUUUUCAUACACAUGUACACACACACAAACACACAACUAGUUCAUUUGUUUCAUAAACGUUUUAAUUUGCUUCUAAAUUAUGAGCUACAGGAUGUUACUGGCAGACACAUUUCCACAAACAAAAUAUUAUGGAUGCAGAUAGAUUAUUAUAUUAUCAAUAAAUCAAAGGAUAAUUAAAACAGAAUAAAUGGAGUAUUUUUGCUAUAUUUUUUGGACCCUUGGGUUUUGAAUCACUACCUACCUUUUGCUCUAGUUCAUGCAAACUAUGAUGGAAUGAAAACAGCUUGAACAAUCAAUCAAAGCUCAUUGAACAGUUAUAUUUUCACACUUCUUAUUAACUUAUAUAUUUACAUCACUUUUUAGUCUUUCUUUAAUCAAUAAUACUUUCUCUCAUCAAUAAUUUAUAGACAUAAAGGAAAUAAGAAUAAAAAUAAUUUGCCUGCACACUAUAACCACUGAAGACAUGGAUAUGUGAUUGACAGUCCAUAAGAAGCAUUAUCUGAGAUCCACAAACUCCAGAAAUAUUUGACUUUCACAUCACUGUUGUAGGUUCUCAAAACAUUCCAUUUUUAAAUAGAUAAUAUUUUGAUACUGUAGUUAUUGAUUUAAAGAAGACAUUAAAAGACCCUAUUACCGUUUUAAAGGCGAGAAGUGUUUGGAGACUUUUGAUGGACACCUGGGACAAGUGGUGAAGAUAAAGGGGAAUCAUUGAAGGAAUUUCCACCAGAAUGAGGCAUUAUCAGACUUGCCACAAUGUGGUUAAUGGAUGAGAGACUAGGGUAGAGAGACAGGGUGGCCUGAAAGAUGGAAGAAGAAUUAAAACUUCAUUGCAACAGUCUAAAAAAGAGAUGGUAAUGACCUGAACUAGGAUUGUAACAGGAUUUAGAGAACUGGAUAGACUCUGAACAAAAUGCAGAAGGAACGCCUUUACCUUUGGAAAUUCCUUGCUUGUGGAGGGUAGGGGUGAAGAAGAGGACAAAGAUGAUGUGAAAGUCUGUUUUGGGUCACAAAUUAGAUAUGGUGUCACUUGCUGAGAUAAGGAUGACAGUAAGAAAAAUAGAAAUAGGUUUUUGUAGGGAAAGUAAACUUCAGCUUGCAAUAUUUUCAGUUUAGGGAAUUUGUGCUUAAUUUAAGAAGCUGUUUCACCUGAGGUCAUUUCAGAGAAUUCUGGAGAUAAUUGAUGAUCUUGGUUAGUACAGACAGAUUAUAAUAUUAUCAAUAAAUCAAAGGAUAAUUAA